CCUACGGGUGCGCAGCAGUGAGGAAUAUUGGUCAAUGGCCGGAAGGCUGAACCAGCCAAGCCGCGUGAAGGACGAAGGUGCCAAGCAUUGUAAACUUCUUUUGUCAAGGGACAAAAUCAGGCUCGAGAGCCUGACCGAGGGUACUUGAAGAAAAAGCAACGGCUUACUCCGUGCCAGCAGCCGCGGUAAUAGGGGGGAUGGGAGCGUUAUCCGGAUUGAUUGGGUUAAAGGGGUGCGUAGGCGGACUGUUAAGUCAGCGGUAAAAGCAAGUGGCUCAACCACGGCGAGUCGGUGAUACUGGCCGUCUUGAGAUGUCGAGAGGUAUGCGGAAUGCGCAGUGUAGCGGUGAAAUGCUUAGAUAUGGCGCAGAACGCCGAUUGCGAAGGCAGCAUACCGGCGGCGAUCUGACGCUGAGGCACGAAAGCGUGGGUAUCGAACAGGAGUAGAUACCCCAGUAGUC
rnacentral:rRNA from 1 species